UGGUGCCGGACUGAAACUAGCAAACACACUUGCGCUGCGCCUUGCGUCGCAUUGUGCCGUUUGAAUGAUAUGGCCCUAUUCUGUCUUUUAUAAUACAAGCUACAUAUUCCAACUCAAGCCUCAGUUUUUGUCUUUUUCUCUCCUCAGUACAUUACUGCAGGCUCACUCUGCAUUGCUGCAGAAAAUAACAUUAAUUCACCGUCCGGUUUGUGUUUGAUGAAUGCUUCACUUGGGAUGAACAUUUUCAGUACUUUAACUGCAGGCAUCACCAUAACUUUUAUUUCACUGGAUUUGGUUAUAGUCCCAUACACUUACCGCAGCAAUACAAACUGUUAUCAAUUAGAGAGAAUGUAUUUGGUAUGUCAUCUACUUUUAUAUUCACAUUUAUUUAGUAAUUGCUAUAAGAUCACUGUGUUGUCAGUACACAAGUUGUUGUUUUUUUGCCCCAUGAUUUACUUAACCUCAAUCCAUCCUAGGUGUAUAUGACUUUAUGAUAAAUAUAUUACAUUACCAUAUAAACUUCAAGGAAGGUCGAUUCUGGACUUUUGAGCCUUCAGUGUACUAGUGUGAGUAGUAAUUAUAAUUUAUUUAGUUACUUUCAUUUGUGUUAAUGUUGAUAUUUCUCUCUCAGACUCUUUAUAUGGGAAUCAGAGGCAUAUUGAUGUUACUGGCCGUGCUUGAGUUUAUCAUCUCCAUCUGUCUGUCAGCAUUUGCCUGUAAAACCUGCUGUAGUCCUCCUCAAAAACGAGAUGGGGAUGUUUAUCAGGUAUUUGUGUCUGUGCUUCUUCAGGAUCUGGGACGGCGAGACACGGACACCUACAACACCCUCUAUCCCGGGAAUUAUUAGUUGCUGGCCUGAGAAACUCUCAAAACGUGCAGCUCAUUCAGUCUUCAUGCCCUUAAAACUGUAUUUUUGUUUAUGAGUACGUUUUAAAAGAGUUUUGUUGAUCAUGAGAUUCUGCUUUAUUGUCCUUGUUUACAUGUGUCUUUGAGACAAACAACACAAUUAAUUUAUAAAAUACAUGUGUAAGCCUCUUCAUUUCAACAUAAAUUUAUAUUUUUCACUUGGACAGAAUAAAAGUGUGUAUAACACAAAAUAAACCCAAAUGAGCAACACCACAGUAAAAAUAUAAUUAUAAAAGCAUAUCACUAAAAAUAGCCUACUAUAUAAACUAAACUAAAUAAAACAACUAAACUGCAACCUAGCAAACACGGAAUGUGCUCAGAACUUUGCCUAACGUUCUGGUGAACUUCUUUCAAAGUUAUAAACAUAUGGUCUUCAAGUAACCUUAAUAGAACAUUGUUAAUUCAACGUUAAAUUGCUUUUAAUAUCUUUCUCAAGCACAGAAAGACUUAUACAUGGUUAUGAAAUGUUUGAGUUGGAUGUUCAUCAAACAUUUUUAAAAUGUUACUAUUAGUUUUGGAACAUUAAGAACAUUUGAACAUGUUCAAAUGUAAGAUUCCCAUAAUGUUUGGAAAAUGCUAAAGAUGCUCCCUUAAAGU